UAGCAAAUCUCUUAAAGCCGUUCUCAGUUCGGAUUGUAGGCUGCAACUCGCCUACAUGAAGUCGGAAUCGCUAGUAAUCGCGGAUCAGCAUGCCGCGGUGAAUACGUUCCCGGGCCUUGUACACACCGCCCGUCACACCAUGAGAGUUUGUAACACCCAAAGCCGGUGGGGUAACCUUUUGGAGCCAGCCGUCUAAGGUGGGACAGAUGAUUAGGGUGAAGUCGUAACAAGGUAGCCGUAGGAGAACCUGCGGCUGGAUCACCUCCUUUCUAAGGA
rnacentral:rRNA from 1 species